CCAUUGCCUCCCCCACCUCCCGCCCAGGCUGCAGCGAGAGGGGCGACCCCCGAAAGUUGCGCGGAGGCGAGAGCAAUGAGGCAAGAGAGAAGUUUUUAAAAACAGAAAAAUGUGAUUGCAUAAACAUCGUUGUUGGCAGGAGGACUUGGUGGAUUCAGCAGCUGCAGUCUGUCUGUGUCCAGUUUGUUGGGAAUGGCCUUGCUUCCUGGGAUUUGUUUUUCCAUAGCUGGAAUCCUGGGUUACUUAGUUUGACCAAGACUGCGCGUUGCAGUCUUUCCAUACAACUGUAAGUGCUGCCUGUAUGAAAGAGCUGAGCCACACCAUCCAGUAAACUAGAGCAGCAGUUGGCUUGCUUGGAAAUCACUUCCAGGACUGCAUUGUAAGUAAGUGUUUUUACAAAAGCAUCAUCAAGUGGUUUCUUCAGGUUUGGGGUGGUUUUGAGAUGUUUUGGUUGUUUCUUUUAAUUUCACAUUUUUACUCUAACAUCUAGUAAGACUAGCAAUGCAUGUGGGAACUCAAGCACCUCCGUAUCUGUGCAUAGCAUAAAGCUAAGGUCCUUUCAAGGCUUUUUGCUGCAUUGCUCUAGAACUCCCCAGCAUACUACCUGAACACUUCUGAGAACAGGCAGCUACAUAGAAGCCUAGAAAGAAAUCUGACCGAGUACAUAUUGGUCUGUUUUGU
rnacentral:lncRNA from 13 species